CCGGAAGCCCGUUCAAACUGUAUAAGGGUGAUCAGCUAUCACGGAGAAGGCUUUAGCAAGUCGGGGCCAGUGGCGCAAUGGAUAACGCGUCUGACUACGGAUCAGAAGAUUCUAGAAGCCCAUGGAAACAAGGCGAUGACGGCGCUUGAGGGUGACCAGACCUCCUCAAUCAUUCCAUCAGCCACCCAGGACUCAACAGCAGAACCUCAGAGGACUCAGCUGAAAGAGGUUUUCACUCGAGCACUAACCACAGAGAAAUGGGAAGUGCCAUCCUGCUGUCAUACGCAGCCGAUGGCUGGGUAGGACUAAAUGCCCUUCUGUGGUGAGAUGAACCAAGACGGCAGAUGGGGGAAUAACAUCAGUGAGAGAGAGAUUACGAAUGGAUCCUUGUAUUGCAGAUCAAACUGGGUUGUCUCUUCUCAAACCACCCAGGCAGUUUCUGAAUGUCCCAAGAUAGGGGUAGGAGAAAAGAAAAAAAAGACAAAACAGGAGACGGUGGGUAAGAAAACCUAAAAGGCACAAUGAGGCAAAGGCCUAAGAUGGAGGCUGGCUUUGGGAUCUGAAAUCCGGCCACAAUCCUCCUUGUUUUACCUCAAGUCCAAGAAUUGUCAAAAAGAAAACCCAGAAGGGCUAUUCAUUCUAAAUUUUAAAAUCUUUUCUUCCUGG
rnacentral:lncRNA from 1 species